AUUGAACGCUGGCGGCAGGCCUAACACAUGCAAGUCGAGCGGAUGACGGGAGCUUGCUCCUUGAUUCAGCGGCGGACGGGUGAGUAAUGCCUAGGAAUCUGCCUGGUAGUGGGGGACAACGUUUCGAAAGGAACGCUAAUACCGCAUACGUCCUACGGGAGAAAGCGGGGGACCGAAAGGCCUCGCGCGAUUGGAGCGGCCGAUGUCAGAUUAGGUAGUUGGUGGGGUAAAGGCUCACCAAGCCAACGAUCUGUAGCUGGUCUGAGAGGACGACCAGCCACACUGGGACUGAGACACGGCCCAGACUCCUACGGGAGGCAGCAGUGGGGAAUAUUGGACAAUGGGCGAAAGCCUGAUCCAGCCAUGCCGCGUGUGUGAAGAAGGUCUUCGGAUUGUAAAGCACUUUAAGUUGGGAGGAAGGGCUGUAAGCUAAUAUCUUGCAGCUUUGACGUUACCAACAGAAUAAGCACCGGCUAACUCUGUGCCAGCCGCCGCGGUAACAC
rnacentral:rRNA from 1 species